rnacentral:rRNA from 1 species
UAUGAAGGUCAGGCUGAAGACCUUACCCGAUUAGCUGAGAGGUGGUGCAUGGCCGUCGUCAGUUCGUACUGUGAAGCAUCCUGUUAAGUCAGGCAACGAGCGAGACCCACGUCCACAGUUGCCAGCAUACCCUCCGGGGUGAUGGGUACACUGUGGAGACCGCCGCUGCUAAAGCGGAGGAAGGAGUGGGCAACGGUAGGUCAGUAUGCCCCGAAUCUCCCGGGCUACACGCGGGCUACAAUGGUUGGUACAAUGGGCAUCUGCCCCGAAAGGGGAAGGAAAUCUCUUAAAGCCAAUCGUAGUUCGGAUUGAGGGCUGCAACUCGCCCUCAUGAAGCUGGAAUCCGUAGUAAUCGCGUUUCAACAGAACGCGGUGAAUACGUCCCUGCUCCUU